rnacentral:rRNA from 1 species
AGAUUAAGUUAUUAAGGGCGCACGGUGGAUGCCUUGGCACUAGAAGCCAAUGAAGGACGUUACUAACGACGAUAUGCUUUGGGGAGCUGUAAGUAAGCUUUGAUCCAGAGAUUUCCGAAUGGGGAAACCCAGCAUGAGUUAUGUCAUGUUAUCGAUAUGUGAAUACAUAGCAUAUC